UUUUUUUGUUUUGUUUUGUUGUGUUGUGUUUGAUUGAGUGACAUGAUUAAAUAACAGUGGAAAGAGCACAGUUUUAUUUACUUUAUGGUUUUUCCUUUUGCAUUUGGGAUAUUGGUGCAAAAUUGAUAUAUCUGUCUCAAUUCAUUUUUAAUUUUAUAAUUUAGGUUGAUGAUUCUCACUUUACUCUUUGAAACAACGCCGUUUUCCCCUUUUGCACUAGAAAUUAAGCUGAUUGGCAUGAUUUUGGGAAUUUAGCAUUCAAAUUUAAUGAGAAUAAUAAAAAAGCAACAAGUUUGUUUUCUUGUAUUUUUAAUCUUUAAUCUGAUACUUGCAAUUGGAACAUGUGCUUCAUUUGUUGCUCUUGCCAGGCAGACUUUUCAGAAUUCAUUCGGUUCUAUGAUUUUGUUUUCUUCAUGUGUCGCGAGAAUGGUCAAAAGAAUAUUUCUGUAAGCAGGGCAGUAACUGCUUGGAAAUUAGUUCUUGCUGGGAAUGAACAAGGGAAUGAACACUGAUACAAUUGUUAAGGCCAAGAGUUUUCUUGAUGGUGAUGAAGAUCAGCAUGAAAAAGAUGUGUUUGAGAAGAAUU